UUUAAGCAAGCACGAGCAGAAGCAGCUGCGAAGCUCGCCGCAAAGGAUCUGGAGGAUGUUAACAGAAUGAGGGACAACAAUGCCACCACAUUCAAAGAGCAGCAGCACUACGGCGAGAACAGACCCGGUGUGAUAGGGUCCAUGUUCAGAGCCGCUAAGGAAGCGGUGGUUGGGAAGCCUCGAGAUGCGGUUGAGACCUCGCCAGGGGUUUAUGAUUCCAACAGAGAGAGGAUAACGAAGGAGCAAGGUGGGUCGAAGAUGGGGGAAUAUGCAGAUUAUGCGACCCAGAAGGCGAAGGAAACGAAGGAUGCAACGGUGCAGAAGGCUGGGGAGUACACGGACUUUGCGACUCAGAAAGCAAAAGAAAGCAAGGACUAUGCGGUGGAUAAGGCAAAGGAAGCUAAAGAUGCUACGGUGCAGAAAGCUUCAGAGUACAAGGAUUAUACUGCUGAGAAGGCUAAGGAAGGGAAGGACAGUGCAACGGGGAAGCUUGGGGAGUUGAAGGACUCUGCUGCUGAUGCUGCUAAAAGAGCUAUGGGAUACUUCACAGGCACCAGAGACGAAACAAAGGUUAACUUCAACUUGCAAGACUUUUUCUGUUGAGUUAUUGAUUUGGUUCCUAUUUAUUUAUUGUUUCUUCCUUUUCCUUGAACAGGUAGGUGGAACGGCGGAGGAUACCAGGCGAAGAACCCAAGAGGUGAGGGUGCAGGAUAAGGACUAUGGAACGGGGCAUGGAGGAGAGAAGGUGGUUAUAAAAAUGGAAGAGUCUCGCCCGGGAGCGGUGGCGGAUGCUAUGAAAGCGGCGGAGAGGGCCUUGGGCGGCGAGAUGGAGGAAGAAGGUAUCCUUCGUGUGGAGCGUCGUAGGGAGAAAAUGUGAACACGUGUGUGUGUGUGUUAUGGAUGAAGUAUAAUAGUAUUAGCAAUAAUAAUGUGCUUUGUAAUAAAAGAUAUUUGUAGUUGUUGUGGUGAAGCAUCCCUCUAGCUUUCAUUCCUAUAGUACAUAUACAUACAUUUAAAUAAAAAGUUUGGAUCACUUUUCAUUUUAAUAAUGUGUGUGUUGUAACUAUAUAUACAUCCUUGAAAAUUAAAAACUUAUUUAAUAACUUCUACUUUUAUUUUCAUUUCUUUUUUUCCCCUCUCCUCACCCACUCUUACUCUUAGACUGUGUUUACUUGGGGUGAUCGGAGGUGAUUGGGGGAGAAUGAUUGAGUGAAUUUGAGGAUAAUAUGUAUUUACUUGGGGUGAUCGGAGGUGAUUGGGGGAGAAUGAUUGAGUGAAUUUGAGGAUAAUAUUUUUUGUUGUUUAUUUGAGUAAAUUUGGAGGUGAUUGGGGGGAGUGAUUGAGUGAAUUUGAGGAUAAUAUUUUUUGUUGUUUAUUUGAGUAAAUUUGGAGGUAAACGAAAGUAGAUUUUGAAGUAAAUUUUUUUAAUUUGUCAUAUAAACUAAAUUUUACACCAAUUCUCACAAAAUUUAUUUUAAAAUUCACUCUUGUUUAUCUCCAAAUUCACUCAAAUAAACAGCAAAAAAAAUUAUUCUCAAAUCCAAUCACUCUCCCCACUCCUGUCAGCCUCAAGUGAACACACCCUUAGUGAAUACCAUCUCAACUUUCAUUAUCAUUACAUUCACUCGAAUUUUAAUUUAAAGAUUUUCUUACGGAGAAAAAUAAGGAAAAAAGUUAUAUUCAUCUUUUAAGUAUGUGAAUCAAAUUUGAUUUUUUUUUUUGAAAAAAAAUAUUAAGAUUUCCAACGUCAAUCGGUUUAACAUUAUUCCACUUCAAAUAUACACACUUAACAACUAUUUCUAUUUAGAUUUAUUACAACUAUUUAAAAACUAUAUUUUACUUACGUAUAUAUAAUAAAAAUUCAAAUUUAUGCAUUUUUAUGAAUAUUUUAAUAUUUAUUAUUAUUAUAUUAAUAAAAGGUUUGAAUGAUUGCCUUUUGGAAAUGAUGUGUGAUAUAACUAUUCUUAACAUUCAUUCCACUUUGGACAAUAUUUAAUUUCUUUGUAUUAUUUUUUUAUAACAAAUUAUGAAUUAUAGAUAAUUUUUAUUUAUUUGGUUAGUUUUGAAAGAAUCAAAUAAAACAGUAAAAGAAAAAAAAAAGAUAUAAAAAGAGAUUUUAAAAAAACAUUUAAAUUUGAAAGGUAAAUGUGGGAAAAAAAAAUCUCCUAUGAUACUGAUAUGAAAGCAAGUGAACUACAAACAAAUUUAUUCUACUUUUAAUUUAUUCUAUGUGAUUCAGUUCUAUAUCAUAUUUUAUAUUUACAGAUCAAGGAGAUCUUUCUAGACUUCCAAAGAUUUUCAAAAUAAGAAUUGAAUAUAUUUUUUGAAUUUAAGAACUUAUAUUACUAAAUUUAAAUUUUAAGCAUGGUGAUUUAAUAUAUAAAUAAGAGUUAACUUUUAGUCUCUAAACUUCUUUAAAAAAAUAGUAGAUAUAUUAAACUGCAUUACAUUAAUUCAAAUGUUAAUAUUUCUUUCCUAACAGCCUAUCCAUAUUUCUCUCUUCUUUUUCCUACAAAAUAGAGCUUUUAGCUUUUAGGCUAACGAGUCAUACUCGCACAAACAGACUUACAUUAUAUUGAUUUAAGUGAUAUUAGAUUAAAUAUCUUUUAUAAAAAAUAAAUUAAACUUUCUUACCAAAAAAUAACUCACAUUAUCUUGAUUUAAGUGAUAUUAGAUUAAAAUAUCUGUUAUAAAAAAUAAAUUAAAUUUUACUACCAAAAAACUCAUUAAAAUUAACCAGCUAAAAUAUCUAACAAGAACUAUUCAUCAAAAUUAAUAUACUAUAGUAAAGGUUAGCCUUUUUAAUUUGGAUAAAUUCUUUAAAAGAAAAAUAGAGAAUAAUUAUUGUAGAGCUGAAUCUAAUCAAACUUAAGCCAAUCACAAUUGUCAGUGAGGAAUUGCACCCCGUCACUGUUUGGUUGGUGAAGCGGAACAUCAAUAGUUGAAGCGCAGUAUCACGUGCCUGAGGUUCACAUUAGGUGAACGUGAAUGAUAAAAGUAGUUAAAUAUUAUGGAUUGUAAAAUUAUAAUUUAUUAAAAUUUUAUAUACGAUAAACCUUUAUCGUAUAUAUAAUCCACGUCCUUUCAUAAAGAAGAGAAGAUGUUGAUGGUUAAACAUUCUUUUUGCUAUAAAUGAUCAGAAGUGCCAUGAUUAGAAAGUUUGGCAUUGCACUCAACAUACUAUUUUAUCUAUGUAACGAUUAUUUGUUCAAACAAAGCACGUACCAUGUAUGUUUUUGUGUAGUUUUGUUAAUCAAUACAGUUCCAUUAGUAGCAAUUAUUAACAUUUUUAAGAGACAAAAAUAGCAAAAGAGCAAUGAUGUCUGUCAUGUUUUCUGCAGUUGUGUAGUUUUGGUGGAGAACGCCCUAGGACGCAAGCCACAACGUGAUUAUCUAAUAUCUAUAGAUGUAUAUGCAUCUAUCUAUCUCCUUCAAGGUUGUUUAUCUUUUGGGUUACCAAAAUCUUGCGUUGGCCGCCAUCAAUGUCCACCAAACUCUUCCUUAUCUAUCUCCUAUCCUCUUUCUCUGCCGUCGCUCUUUUCUUUGCGCUGUUCCUCGCCGGAAUCUCCGACUUCAAACAUGAUGCGUCAUUGUCUCCUCCCUCUCUCAAUCAUGGAUCCGAAAACGACAAAGUUUGGCCUGUGUGUCACACCUUCAUCUCUUCUCUGUCACGCUAUCGUUGUGGGAAAAAAGACUAAUGCUUUCUUUGUUGGGGGUGCAGGAAUUGAAGCCGGGGUGGAGAGUUGCGUUGGCCACGGUUAUUGGGUUUCUUGGAUCAGCUUUUGGAACCGUUGGAGGGGUAGGUGGGGGAGGCAUUUUCGUUCCCAUGCUCACUCUUAUUGUGGGUUUUGAUACCAAGUCUGCUGCUGCUCUCUCUAAAUGUAAUAAAGCUCUCUCUUUUAUUCUUUCACGUUGUGACAUGUGAGAACGUCCACAGACUUAGGUUUUUUGGUUCUUGUUUUGUGACCGAGUGUGAUAUUGUUCACUUUUUUUCAGGUAUGAUAAUGGGGGCGUCAACAGCAUCUGUUUGGUAUAACCUGAGAGUGCCUCAUCCAACCAAAGAGGUGCCUAUAAUAGACUAUGAUCUGGGACUUAUUUUUCAGCCCAUGCUCAUGCUUGGUAUAACUGUUGGUGUAGCGCUCAGUGUUGUCUUCCCCUACUGGCUCAUCACUGUCCUUAUCAUUAUUCUCUUCAUUGGUCUCUCUCUCAUGUCAUUUAUUUUAGCAGAAAAGUUUACUUAUAAAACAAACCCUGCUUUGGAUGAAUCAGUUCUUCGUUGGUCUCUGCUGAUAAAUGGUGAAAAAUGUUCUUUUACCUUUUGACAGGUACCUCUUCAAGGUCUUUCUUUAAGGGAACUCAGAUGUGGAGGGAAGAGACUCUUCUAAAGGUAAAGUUUCAUCACUUGAGAUAGCGGUUCUUCAACGGAAUCAUUUAACAGAGGCAAACGUAAUGUUUGUGUUUGCUAAUUGCAGAAAGAAAUGGCCAGGCAAAAGGCAACUUUCGUUAAUUCUCACGGGGAACGUAAGUAAAGAUUAUAUACAUAUAUAUAUACUUUAAACCAUUUCUUUACUAAGAACAAAAAGCACUUUAUUUGGGAUUUACUAAUUCAACCAUUUUCAAAUUAAUCAGUACAUAAAAGUUAUAAAAUUUUGAAAUAAGAAAUAGUUUUUCUGUCAAGCGUGCCCUGCGAAUAUAGUUCUUAAAAUGAAGAUAUUUCAUUUUAUGCGCAGUUCUAGUUGAUACAGAAUAUGAGCAGUUGAUUCCUAAAGAAGAGAAGUCACCAAUGGUAUGCAAAGUCUCAGUUUUUCAUCGAGUCAUAGUAGGUGAUGAGGAGAAACCUGACUUUUUUUUUUUUGUUCUCUCCCUUGAACAACACCUCAGCAAAUUUUUUGUUUCAAUCUCAAGUGGAAAAGGAUUUUGGUACUAAUGGUCGUGUGGGUUUCUUUCCUACUACUUCAAGUCAUCAAGGCAAGUCCUCCUCUCUCCAAUUCACAUCACAAAUCUGUUCACUUAUUAUUUCUUUGUUAUAAGUCUAUUUAUUGUGGGUCUGCAGAAUACAGUAGAGGUCUGCAGUGAAUGGUAUUGGGUGCUUUUCAGCUUACAGGUACAAUGGGAGCAUCAAUUCCACUAGCACAACUUGUUACUUAACUUACUACUAUGCAGUGGGGUCAAAUCAAACGUAUUGACAUGCACCUUUCUUCUUUCUGUUUCAGUUUCCUAUUGCACUUUUGGUAUUUGGCUAUGAAGCAGCGAAGUUGUACAGGGAUUACAAAGAGAGAAUGAGCACAGGAAACCUGGAAUACAUUUGUGAGGCAUCAAUUGAAUGGACUGUUCUGCACAUUUUAUUUUGUGCGCUAUGUGGCAUUUUGGGAGGAACUGUGGGAGGCCUACUUGGUUCUGGAGGUGGAUUCAUUUUGGGCCCUCUGCUCAUCGAGAUUGGUGUCAUCCCCCAGGUAAGUUGCAUAUGCAAGAGACAGUUUGAUUGACAAUAAUGUUGAAGCAACUUAACUUCCAAAGACGUGUUCUUGUUCAAAUUACAGGUUGCUAGUGCAACAGCAACAUUUGUGAUGAUGUUUUCAUCAUCUUUGUCUGUGGUGGAAUUCUACCUUCUCAAGAGGUUUCCCAUUCCUUUUGGUAAUUUUCAUAAUAUUUUCAAGCUUACAUCUCUUUGCAAUCUGUCUUGCCUUUAAAUUGUCACUCCCUACCAUUUAAGAGUUUAAGUGACAGGUUCAUGUGGAAACAAACAGGCAAAGAUGGCUACAUAUUGUGUUCCACCAUAUGCUAUGUUUACUAUCCAUUUUUCACUUGGCUUCCUUUUCAAAAAGGCUUCUUUUUCACUAGGGCCUUAGAGCUUGAACACAUACUAAAAUAACACCCUGUGGUGAAAAUGAUCUGAUCUGCUCCAUGCUUAUUGCAUUUGUCACAUUUCUUUUGUAGCGUUAUACCUCACUGCAGUGUCUGUCCUGGCUGGCUUUUGGGGACAGUAUUUUGUAAGGAAAUUGAUGGAAGUUCUCGAGAGAGCUUCAAUCAUUGUAUUCAUCCUCUCAGGGGUCAUUUUUGCUAGCGCUCUCACCAUGGGUAAAGCUAUUCAAAUCCAAAGACAUUUGCUGAUUUAUGUAUAUGGUUUAUGCGCCAAUGUUCAACUAUAUGUUUGAGCCAUUUCCUUUCAGGUGUGGUUGGUAUUGACAAGAGCAUUAAAAUGAUCCAAGACCGUGAGUUCAUGGGUUUUUUAGACUUCUGCAGCAGUCAGUGAUUCAUGUAGUGUACAGCAGGUGGCAAACGAAGACAACAUUGUGGAGUGUGUAAAAAAUGGUUGGAAAUUGAGGAUAGGACUAUAGAGAGUCAUGAAUGUUGGUCACCGACAAGGAGAUCCUUCCUCUUCAAGUAUCAAAUAAUGGUAGCUUGCCCUCCCUUGUGUGAAACAAUGAUUGUAGUUGAAUGUUAGCUACUGGCUAACACUCUUCUCAUUGCAGUGCAACAUUUGUUUGAUAUGUAUAUUUUUUAAGUUUCUGUUGAGCCUCCAUUCAGUUCUAGACUCAGUGUGAGAAAAGCUUGUGUAUUCAGGGUACGACAACAACUUUCAGGAAUGUUGGUCAAUGUUUGGUUGACCAUCGGAAGUUCCUUUCCUGUGUAAUAAAUAAGGCUAUUAAAGGGAAGAAAAUCAGUUUGUGGUUGAGUUGUUAUGCGACUGACUGAUGGCAAAACAUGAAGGAUUUUUUAUUUCUUUUGCAUCGGAUCUUCACAUGUCCAUUGGAUUGUUUAAGGUUGAAAGGUUUGCUUCUGAGCGAGUAGUUCAAAGAAUGUCUCUGUACUUGCUUGUAUAAAAAAGUUAUUAUUUGAUCGCUGUAAAUCAAUUGAAUACAAUUUAUCGCAAAACAACUAUUAUCUUUCUAGCGUUUGGUAUGCCCAUCUGGUCAACUUCGAAACACCAAUCAUCAACUCAAUUAUCUAACUCCAAAAUUAAUGAUUUUUUGGAUUGAGUUUAUUUGGACUGGAGUUCCUAUAGACCGAUUACUUUUGGUUGACUAUUCUAAGUUGAGUUAUUCUAGAUCAACCAUUUUUAGUCUAGUUUAUUUGGUCAACCAUUUUUGGCCACCUACUCUAGAAAGUCCCUUUAGUUCAACUAGAUCAACUUUUUGAAUAUAUCACUUGUGAUUGACCAUCUUAACUAAAUAAUAUGGUCGACAAGUUAUAAAAUGGUCAGAUUAACGAUGAUAAUGACAAAUCCAUAUGUUACUACCAACUAAAGUAUGAUUGAACUGUGAUUAGGUUGAGAAAAAAAAAAACUCAUAACAACUAAUAUAAAUAAAGCUUUAAGGUAUGACUUUCAUAUAUAUAUAUAUAUAUAUAUAUAUAUAUAUAUAUAUAUAUAUAUAUAUAUAUAUAUAUAUAUAUCACUAUAUUAAUACUAUGCCAAUCGAUCAUUUAUUGAAUUUAGAUGGAGAUGCCUUUUACAAAUACUUUCUGAUAGAAUUAAAAGAUUCAAUCCAACAUUCAAACAACACAAACAAACAAACUAUACUUAAUGUUAGAAACCGAUCACAAGUCUUAGACAUACAUCCCAAAACAAUAUUGAUUUGAGGUUAAGGUUUUGUUUAGUCCAUGAGUGUUUGAUUGUUUUGUAAUUUUCUUAAAAGGUAGGGUUAAAUUAAUUAUUUAGUCCAUUGAAUCAUAAUCCUAUUUUUUGAACAUUUGUAGUAGGACAUUUGGAGUCAAUAUUCUUUCUAAAAGAAAGUUUAAGCAUAUUUAAAAUCUUAAAAUGACCAAUCUAGUAAUGAAGUGUUUAGAUAGUUGGUAUAAGUUUUGAAGUUUCAAUUUUACUCUUAUUAUUAUAAAAAAAAAAUCAAGUGGGAAUGAUUUAAUUGUUGGAAUGUCAUGCUAUAUAACUAUGCAAAAAUAAAUAAAUUAAAAACAUCAUUAUAAUCCAUGCAUAAUAAUAAGUAGUACAAAGGUUAAUUUAGUAUUUGAAUUUACUAUUAUUUGAUUUAAUUUAUUUAGAUUUGAUUAAAUUGAUUCAGGUUAAACAUUCAUUAUAUCUAAAUCGAGAAACAUCUCUGUAAAUUAAAUUUUUAAACUUAUUUUAAUAAAGCUAAUUGAGGUUAAUUUUUAAGGUAAAAGUAAUUUGAUUUUAAUCUCAUUUCUAAUCACCAUAAUAUGCUUAAAUAAAGUUUUUUAACUAAUCAAAACACGAUACUUGAAAUCAUGUCCUUCUGCACCGCAUUUGUUCUGAAGAUUCUAAACCCUUUAGAACAAUAUCAAUUAUUCAGCCAUUCGGUGGUACAAUUUUGUAUGCUGGAACAGUUCAAUCAACACGCGUAAUUUUCUUUUAAUAUUGGAACUUUUGGUUUUAAAAAAAAAACAGAUUUCAAUCUAAUUAAAAUCCUCCCGCGAUAAGUUUUGCCUCUUUUAUUAAUUGUUUUAUUUCAUUUUAAAAAAUAUUUAUUUUUUAUUCAUUAUCUCCUUUCUUCUUCUUAUAUGGGCUCAUUGGCGAAGCCCAAAUGAUAAUUAGGAUUCUUAUGGACCAGGCUAUUUAAUUUGGGCCCAGGAGUGCAUUUAUAUGGUUUUAUAUUCGGAGUAUAGAGAGAUUCAGGGAGAAUUAGGUUUUAGGGUUUACACUGAGCAGCCACACCUGAAGCAGCAGCCAUGGUCCUCAAGUGAGUUUUCAUGAACACUUUCUUCUUUUUCCUUUAGCUCCUUUUGUAGGAUCUCAUAGCAGUUGCUUUCUUCUAUAAUUAUUGGGUUCGGAUGCAUACACUUAUCUGUACUCUAAAAUCGUUGUUUGUUGUAGUUUAUCUCGUUUUUAAUCUCGUUGUUCGUUGUUUGCGUCGAAAAUUAAUUCCACAAUAUGUAUAUCACCAUCAUUCUCUGCUUACUGACUUCAAUUCAAUUCCUCAACCGCGUCUCUGGAAUAGUUUUGCAUCUGCUUCUUUAAUCUGAGUUUCUGUUUGAAAUCUUCUGACUUUUAGAGACAUCGAUAGGUUUUGAAAACAUGGCGGAGAAUGUGUUUUUUUUUUUUUUAAGCUUCUGAAAAAGUUCAGGCGCAUAAGUCUUGUAGAUUGCUGAACAUAGUUUCAGCUAAACUAUUCAGUGUCUUACGCAUUAUGUUUGAUCUAUGGAUAAUUAUUUUUCAUAGAGGACAAUGAGUUAUUAAUGUUUUGUAUUCCUGUAUCAGAACUGAACUAUGCAGAUUCAGUGGUGCCAAGAUUUACCCAGGAAAAGGCAUUAGAUUUGUUCGCGGUGAUUCUCAGGUGACAUAUAAUGUCUUGUUGAAUUUAGGGUCCAUUUAUCACAUUAUUUAAAUCUUGUCCUGUUUGAUGCAACUUAAUGGUUAUUAGUUGUGACGGUUUUUGUUUGUCAUUAGUUAUGAUAUUGAAAAGAGGGUAUUUGUUUGUGGAAUCUACAGGUUUUCCUCUUUGCCAAUUCCAAAUGCAAGAGGUAUUUCCACAACCGCUUGAAGCCAUCAAAGCUUACCUGGACUGCAAUGUACAGGAAGCAACACAAGAAGGUAUUUUUUUAAUUUAAAUGUCUGAAAGAUGCAACAAUUAAUGUGUAUAGAGAUAAAAUGAGAAUUUCCAUUGGCAUUGAAGAACCGGUCUAGGAAUGAAAAUGUUGCUUUUUUACCGAAUUCGGUCGUCCGAUUUUGCCUAGUGCAUAGUUAUUCGAAUUUCACAUAAAAACAGAUUACGCAUUCCUCAGUUGCUGCAUGCAUUUGAUUCAAUUACUUGUGUGAAUGGGAUGUGUAGGACAUUGCUCAAGAAGCUGUGAAGAAGAGAAGACGUGCUGCCAAGAAGCCUUACUCUAGGUCCAUUGUCGGUGCCACUUUGGAAGUUAUCCAGAAGAAGAGAACUGAGAAGCCAGAAGUUAGAGACGCAGCUAGGGAAGCUGCCCUUCGGUGUGUUUUUGUUAAUUCCUGCCCCUUCAUUCCGUUAGAUAUGUGCAUAUUUAAUAACAUUUUUAGUCAUUCAUUUUCUGAUCAACUAUUAUAAUUACGCUUUACUCUCUGUUCACCACUCGCUUUAGAAAAGCUUAAUCCUCUUAAUAAUUUCCUGCCUUAUUUCUAGUGUUAUGAACUUUUUUUUUUUUUAUUUAUUUUACUCACUUGCUUGAAUCCGUAGUUCUGCUUCAGAGCCUUGCAUUUUAAGAGCUCUUUUAUUUUCAAACGUGGAUUACACAUGCAUCUGAAUCUUGGAUGUUGUGGUGCAGUGAAAUUAAGGAGAGGAUCAAGAAGACAAAGGAUGAGAAGAAGGCUAAGAAAGCCGAAGUUGCAGCUAAGUCACAAAAAGCAGGAGGUAAAGGAAAUGUUUCCAAGGGUGCUAUGCCUAAAGGUCCCAAACUCGGUGGUGGAGGCGGGAAGCGCUGAGCUUUUAAGUUUUGUUCCUAUUUUUGCUACAAUUAAAAUAGUGUUGUUUUCAAACUUCUGUACCGUACUGAUAUUUAAUUUGCAUGAUUAAUCUUUUAUUUUACUGUUUAAUUAAACCUGUUUUGGAGCUUCAGAAAGUACCUAGUUAUUGAAUGCAUUCCGCUUCCGCCUCCUUAUUCACGUUAUUCGUCGUUUAACCAGCUGUUUUUAUUGGUUCUUUUUUGGUUUCUGAAUUUGACCUAGAUGGGGGACGCCCAAUGACGUGGCUACUCAUGUUUUGCAAUUAUGUUCAUUAUAGAAUCUUCCAAUUGUUUUCACCAUGCACAGUGCCCGAUUUGCAUUGUAGGCUUGCAUUACCAUACCAAAUUUUGAUUCGAAGCAACUAUUUCUUAUCUAUUUAACUCCUAUUCAUUCAAUCUAGUAUAUGGUUAAAAGGUUGUUAGAAAACAACUAUCUUAAGACAUUACAAUCCAAUCCUGAUAUGGGUACAGAAAACUCCCAUUUCAACAUUGUUGUCGAUAAUUCCUACAUGUUUCUUGCCUUUCAUUUGAUUAGUUCGUAUAAGCUCUUUUACAUUUCUUUUAAUUUGUAAGAUUCUCCGAGUUAACUGAUUAAGAGUUCAUUUUUAAACUCGAGGUAACAAUUAGAACUCUUUUCAAUCAAGGUUUGACAUGAAAAUUGAAUAGAAUUCCACUUAAAUUUCCUUUUUGUUUUCUUGACGGGCUAUCCUGGUAUUGCGAUGGACUAUAAUUUUCAGAUUGUCUUUUCAUGGGUUAUGUUAUGGGUUUAUCUCUGCAUUAUCAUUCUCACAAUAGAUACUUUUAGGGAAUUACUUCCUACACCCAUCAUUUUUCUACCUGUACCCUAACACUUAAGGAAUACAAGAACAGUUCCGGAAAAUUUUUAACGGACAGCAAUCACCCACUUUUAUUACUGAAAAAAAAAAAUCGGUAGGAUUUUUUAUGGGUGGAUAAAGAACUGUGAUAGAGUGCAGGAAGCAACACCCGUAAUUUUAUAAUUGGAUCAAGUUAGGGAUCAAUUUUAAAGAUCAUAAAAUACUGAAUCAAGAAUUUUGUAUUUGUAAUAAUUAUAAAAUGAGUGGAAUAAAAGAUAAAAGAUUAACCUCCAUAUGGUGUACAUUCAUUAUAAAUCUCCGAAAUUUAUGUUUAAACCAAUAUGUCAGAUGUAACAUUCAAAUAUUACGGUUUUUGAAAUCUUCAUAACCAUCACCAAUCUUGUGAUAAUAUGAAGAAUCAAUUAUUAAUAUAUUUAUAAAUGGGGACCAAAUCUGAUUUAUUAAACAAGUUGAAAUAAUAAAUAGUUCUUUUUUUUUUUUUUGUUAAAGGUCUCAACUAAGUUUUCUCUCCUACCUCACAUGGAGUAAACAUUAAUUAGACUUCACUUAUUUAUCCUAUUCUAGUUCUUUAUUAGGUUAUUCGAGAUUCACUUUAAACAAACGUCCAAAUGCUGGUCUAUUUAUUAAUCAAUUUUAUUGAUAGAUCUAAAUACAUUACACUUUAUUAAUAAAUUUAACUUUUAAGAAAUGUUUUAUAUUUUUUUUAAAUAUAUAACUAGUUUUAAACUUGGGUAUAUACGAAUUGAUAUUUAUUUAUGUGUUUAUUGAAAGAGAUUUAGGGGUUGAAAAUAAUUAUUAUUAUUUUCAAGUUUAUACUUAAAUUUUAUAUAAAACCAAUGUGAAAAAUAAUUUAUAAGUUUAAAAAGUCAAUAUGUCUAUAUAAGACUUUGUAUAAAAUAUAAAGAAUAAAGCAUGUGUAAAAAUAUAAGAUAGAUUUUAAAAAUACAAAGGGUGCAUGUAAAAAUAUAUAGAAUAGACUCUCUACAAAUAUAAAAUAGUAUUUAAAGAGAUUGGUCUAAUGUGUAUUAUUAAAUUUAUCUAAUUAUUAUAUUGAUAAAUUCAUAUAAUAUGUUUUUAGACUUAUCUAAUUAAUAUUUAAACAUACUGAUCUAAUAUAUAUUAUUAAAUCCGUCUAAUUAGUAUAUAAACAUACUUUUCUAAUAUAUAUGAUAAGACUCGUCUAAUAAAAGAAUAAUAGUCAUCUAUUAUUCAUUAACUGACUCAUCUAAUAUAUAUAUAUAUAUAUAUAUAUAUAUAUAUAUAUAUAUAUAUAUAUAUAUAUAUAUAUUUAUUUAGACUGAUAUAGUUAAACUAAAUUAAAUAUAAUAAUGUAUACAAACUCACUUCAAUAUGUAACUUCAUUAUGUGCUGAGCAACUUUUCUUGAAUUGCAGAAUUCCAUUAUUUAAUAUUAAAUUCAAAACUGCUACUUGUAAUUGCAAUUUCUGACUCGAGGCUGAAGAGAAAAUGAAAAUGUUCUUUUUUACAUGCGCAAAAGUUGUGAACUAAUAAUAUUUAGGGAUAUUUUGUUAAUCCAAAAAGUUAAUUUCAAUAAACUUAGUUGUUUCCUAUAUAGAAAAAUGAUAGGAUAUUAAGAUCUUUGAUUAUUUAAUAUAUUUAAUUUUUCUUAAUUACUAAACAUAGUUUAAAGCACAUAAAAUAGUCAUUUAAUUUUAUUGUGUAAAAAAUUCAUUUAGAUCUGAAUUAAACUAAUUUAAAAAUUUAAAAUAAUGAAUUUAUAAAUAUUAAAUUUAUAAAUUUUUAUAUUACAUGUUUUUUUUUCUUUUAAUGUAUAACUUAAAUUCAUACUUAAUUUCUACCAAUUAUUUAUUUCAUUUUAAUAAUUAAUAUAUAUAUAUAUAUAUAUAUAUAUAUAUAUAUAUAUAUAAUAUUUAGUAAUUAUAACAAAAAUUAGUCUAAAUUUAAUUAGAAUUAAUAUAAUAUUAUCACAUUUUGACUAAAUUUCAUGUUUCUUUUAUUAUUGUGUUUAAAACUUUAUCACAAUAUACUACAUACUGUUUUAUUAAAUGUUGUAAGUUUAUUUUCUAAGAAAUUAACAAAAUUAAUAAUUAGAUUAUAGUCAAUAAAUAUAUUAAAUUAUUUAUUAUAUUUUAUUUAAUAAUAUAAUAAUAGAUAUGAUAUAAAAAUAUUAAUUUAAGUAUAAUAAAAUUAUAAAAUAUUAAACUAUCUAAUAAAAGAUAUAAUUAUAUAUAUAAAUAAAUGAUAUUGUUUAUAAAAAUUAAUUAAAGUCUCGUCUAAGCAUCAAACCUAUCUUAUAACUUUAUCUUUGUAACUCGAGAAAGAAUUUAAUCACUGAAGCUUUUUUUAGACAGGAAACCUCCUAAAAUAAAAAAUUUCAAGAAUGGAGUAAGAUUAAUUUAUAGACCAUGAAUCAAAUUAUCAUGCAGUGAUUGAUAGUCAAUAAAUUACUCUUCUUCCUUACCAAACUGAUCUGGUCUGAAGGGAGAAUCCGAAUUUGUCAAUCUGACUACAAAUGAAACCUCCAAUAUAAAAGUAAAAUAAAAAAUAAUGAUUUGGGACCACUAAACUACGUGGUAAGUAUGAUAGAUAAAGUGGUAGCCACAGAAGUAAGUAGGUAUAGUACGUAAUAAUAAGACUUUAUGCAAGUCAAUUAAUUACUUGAAACUAAACUACAAGUUAAAUUACGCAUGCCCUGCUGCUUAGGUGUUUCAGGAGUCAUAACUACAACCAGACAUGUCUGCACAGAUCCUAAUGUCAUUCAGACAAAGGUUAUAUCAUCUUCUACGUAACAACACUAAUACUAAUGUUCGUACUUUUGGAACAUUAACUAUGGAUAAAUUAUAUUAUGAUAGCUAAUAAGGCAUAACAGGCCACUGGCAGAAAGGCACUGAAACAGUGUUAUAAUCCUCCACGCUGAAAGAGCAAAAACCCUCAUCUGCGACCUGCUCAAUGUUACUCUUUCCCUGUGCCUUGUUCGAACCCCUUAGACCCUCUGAAGUGCUUUCUACCGUUUCUAUUCCUGAUAUUUCUUCAUAACCACCCAAUCUUUGCUUCCCAAAACCUUCCUCUUUACUUAGCAUUGCCUUCAACUUCACAACCUGAACCAACCAAAAGCAAAACAUUAUUUGAAGUUUCUUUUCAUACUUUUGCUGAACAAGACACGCUUCUUUUGUCUCAAAAACAUUGCAUGACGUAAAUAGUAAUGCAGUUAACAUAUAACAUAUACAGUUUCAUAUUUCUAUCACCCCGGGUGUCUUUCAUGGCACAAACCCUAAUCUUAGAGAUGAAAACCAAGGCAGGAGACAGAUAGCCACUAUAUUCAAACUUGAAAUGAAGAGAGAUGUUUGAAUGUAUGAUAUGUGGUUUGCAGUUACAUGAAGAGACACAAGGAUAUGUGUAAAAGCAACUAAACAUUUAUAAUGCGUGUGGGAGUGUGUGAAAGUGAAGUUGGAAGAUACCUCUUCUUGAAGCAUUUGCUUUUCGUUGGAGAUGACAUCAUAUUGGUGCUUGAGAACAUCGUAUAAGUGCUCAAGCUGCUUGGUUUUCCACCUCGUACGUCUAUUUUGGAACCAAACAGCGAUUUGACGAGGCUGAAGGCCUAGCUCCCUCGAAAGUUUCAUCUUCCUUUCAGGGUCUAACUUUAUCUCCUCCUGGAAGCUCCUCUCCAAUAACUCUAACUGGUUGCUUGUUAACCGCUUCUUCUUCUCUUUGCUUCCGUUGUACAUUGCCGGAAUAGAACCUUCUCCUGUCUCCAACAAUGUCGCCUGUUUCACUUCCACUCCUGAACAUAUGCAACACAAAGGGUUACGUUUGAAAAGCAGCAAGGUAUUUGAAGAUCUGGUGGUAAUACCUAUUUACGCUUCUUAGUAUUACAAAGUCGUGCCUCUAAUACACGAAGGAAAGCAUUUUAGCUAGGGUUAACCUGUUUUACGAUAAAAAACAUAAGUAUUCUAUCUUUGAAAAUAUUAAAAUAAACAUUUAGACUGUCGGAUUGAUCUUUUAGAGGUUGUCCUAGCUGAAUAUGCUUUUGCCAGUGUUUCCUAUGCUAAGUAUCUUCAGAAAAGCAAGAAAAUGGGACAAUUACUUGAAAUUCAAGUUACUAAUACAAAACUCAGAAAUAUUGAAAUGGGGUGGUUGCAAAAUAUAGGCUGAUUCUUGGAAGCUAUUAACUGAGUCACGCACAUAUAUAUAGAAGCUAACUGCAUUUGAAAAUCGUAAAGCAAAGGAAGUAGAAAAGAAAUGCAAGUUGAGAUUUUGUUGGUGUUUAACCUGGAUAAGGGUUGUUGUUGUUGUAGUUGUAGAAGAAGCUUAAGGUGUCUGGGUGAGGAAGAAAUGGUUUUGUGGUGUAAUGCCAAUCCAUAUCUUUUUAGAGAUCUCUCUUUCCAUUGAAUUCCAUCUGCCAAACGAUCUCUUAUAUGGGUUGAUGGGUUUACUGUAUAUGAGGAUUGACUUGGACCACGUAGGCCGAUAGAAAAAUGUGUGUAGGAAGUUUAGCUAAGGCAGUGAGGUGUUGCACGAUCGUUCUGACUUGUUAUUAUGAGAAGCAAAAGGCUGUUUAUUCCUUUCUCUUUUUGGGUGCCAGCUAAUUAAUCUUUAAUUUUUCAAUGCUUCUAGCUAAUAAAUUUCAUUAUGAAAAUAAGAUCCAGAGCAUUUAUUUCAUCACUAGCUCCUUUUAAAUAAAAGUUAACUUUAAGAGAGUUGGAGAGAAAAUAUAGAGUUGUAGCUAUCCGGGGCUAUAGAGAGUGUUACGCGCACCGAAGGAAGGUUAAUUAGAGUGACAUUUGUAAAUUGUAAGUGUGAGGUUGUUCUUCUUUCCUUUUGAGAGCAACAGUGUCUUGUGUUAAGGUGGAAACUAAGGGAAGGGACAACGCUUGUCAGAAAAAGGUGUGAAAAGGGGGAACCGUGUGUUGAGUUGGCCACUGAGUAGCCUUCAUGAUAUCACUCUUAUACCAUUUCUUUUACAAUAACUCUUGUAUGUUUGAAUGUCAUAAGAUAAAUCAUGUGAUGUAAUAUAUAAGUCCAAAUAAUAUUACUAAAAUUGAUUAUGAAAGCACGUGAUUACUCAAAAUCCGUAGAUUGAGUUUAUUUGUGUUUGCAAGGACCGGUUGAGUUUUCAAGAUAAUUUAAUUCUUUGUUUUCUUCUUCUCACAAGGUUGUCAAUGAUAUGUUAGAUAAUAAAUUUCUCUCAUUCCUUUAAUAUUGGACGAUGAUAAUUCAUGCACAAUAUUUUUUUCUGGACAAAUAUUUACUUUCAUUGGAUGUUGACUUACAAAAGACACUUUGAUGUUGAAAUGGGAAUUUUUUCUCUGAAAGUGUAAAGUAAUUCAAUUAUGAAAAAAAGUGUCCAUUACCUCGAAAUUAAACUUGUAUUUAUAGGGUUUAAAAGAAUAUGACCUAUUAGUUUACCUCUUAAUGAUUAUUAAUGCCAACAUUAAUCACUCAUCAAUAGUAGUUACCAUAUUGAUUACGCAUUAACUCUACUCAACUGCUGUCGUAUCCGAUCGGCUGUGAAGUUCUUUUCUGUAUCCUGGUCCAUUCAACUUAACACACAAUCAUACCCGAUCGGUCAACUCUUAUCCUAUAAUAACACAUGUAUUUCGAUGUUUAAUUCAGAAUUGAUUAACAUACUCAAAUAUUAAAUACAAUAAUUAUGUAACUAAUUAUUUUAUUUAGACUUUUUAUUUAUACAAAUUAUAAAGAGUUUUUAUUUACUGUCGGC
rnacentral:lncRNA from 1 species